rnacentral:tRNA from 1 species
GCGCCCGUAGCUCAAUUGGAUAGAGCGCUUGACUACGGAUCAAGAGGUUAUGGGUUCAACUCCUGUCGGGUGCGCCA